rnacentral:tRNA from 1 species
GGAGAGAUGGUCGAGUUGGUUUAAGGCACCGGUCUUGAAAACCGGCGUACCUUUACGGGUACCGAGGGUUCGAAUCCCUCUCUCUCCGCCA